UCCGUUUGCUCUUACGCAUACCUAGUACUAGCACGAUAGCCGUUGGCUCCUUCAUCAAGCAGAUGCUACAAUUCUUUUCAACAUUUGGACUAACUCCCCUUUCCGAAGUCUGAAACGGAACUGAAGGACAGCAACGGGAUUCGAGAAGCUCUUAACGCAGCACAAACGAAUUGGACAUUGUAAAUGCACGCAUGACGGUUGCGGACAAGGCGUCUUUUCCCCGCGGUGUCCAUGGCGUUGGGAAGCAUGAUGCACGAAAAGGCUAGGAGCCUUUUGAGUGCAUUGCCUCCGACGAACGCCAUGUGGGAAAGCUUUGGCUUCAUAAACAAAGCAUUUACCUCCCCCUUCAUUACCCUUUUUUUCUUUCUCUCUAAUCACUUGUAUUCGCCGUUCACAGAUGUAUUAAAGUUUCAUAUUAAUUUGUGAACACUUGGUAAAAUACGAACGGGCCGUUGCAAUCCUUAAUUCAACCCUAGUAUAGGCCAGGUGCCCGAAAAUCGUAUUUUCUUUCAUAUCCAGUCAAUAUUUCCUGAGUAGGAACUAAUCUAUUUUUUGAAUUCUUUAGGUAAAUAUUGAAUGUGUGCAUGUCUCUUUAAUGCAAUAGCCAGGAUUUUCUUUACAUUUAAAAGGAGGUGGUAUCAUUGCACCUAAAAAAAAGCCAUGCAUAUAGAGUAUCUGUGUACUACAGUGCUUUAAAAAACUGUUUGCCUGUUGAGCAAUAUAUGUAUAUUUCCUUUC